UACGUAGGGGGCUAGCGUUGUCCGGAAUCAUUGGGCGUAAAGAGCGCGUAGGCGGUCCGAUAAGUCGGCUGUGAAAGUCAGGGGCUCAACCCUUGAAAGCCGGCCGAUACUGUCGGACUAGAGUCCGGAAGAGGCAAGUGGAAUUCCCGGUGUAGCGGUGAAAUGCGCAGAUAUCAGGAGGAACACCGGUGGCGAAGGCGGGUCUCUGGGCAGUAACUGACGCUGGAGGAGCGGAAAGCGUGGGGAGCGAACAGG
rnacentral:rRNA from 1 species